UGAGCAAAGGGGGCUGGCGCUGCUCUGCAGCGGAUGGGUUUGCCGUUUUCGGUUAGGAAAAUGUUUGUGUUCCCCCAACAGGAGGUGUCUUAGGGGAGCACUGGCUUUUCUGAUGCGUCUGUGUGUCCACAAGAGACCAUGGUUCCGCCUCCAUUUUGGAGACCGGGAGGCCGAGGUUCCUUUUGGCCUCAUCGGGCAGAUCCCAGAGGAGACUGGACUUUGGGGUCUAGUGACCAGGCCAGAAGGUGCUCUCAGGGGUGGGUGCGGGACAGUCCCAGGCCGCAAGGCUGUCAGAGGAAGGCGCCCCUUGGUGGAGAGGCCAACUCUGGGACCCACAGGGGUCUCUCCAGAGUCAGAGCCAUCAGUGGGUGAGAGGCUGGUCUGGAAGGUGGUGAGCUCCCCAUCACCAGGCCUGUGAGCAGGUGAACCCCUUGGGCCCUCAGCUCCUGGGGUUCUCCAUGACCCACCAUUUCCAUGGCCCUGGAUGAGGUGGGCCCAUCUGCCUCUGCGGAGACUUGGCACUGCCUCCAAGACCACUCAGUCCCCUCUCCUGUUGCCACUGAGGCUGGGGCACUGAGGUUCAAGCGGCUUUGGGGCUCAAGGAGCUCUAUUUCUCCCUGAUUUGACCCCACUCCCCCUCCUGGCCUCCAGACCCCUUCCUCCAGCCCUCCUUCCACUCUGCCACUCAAUGCUCCAACUGCAACAUGGGCCUCCCCUGCUCUAACGCCACCCAUGGCUCCCUUCUCCCAGGCCAAGGUCCAGCUUCUCAGCCUGGCAUCCAUGGCCCGGCCUGAGUGCUCCUGGCGUGCACCUCCCUCCCACCCUGACCCCAGCCCUGCGGGAGCACCUCAGAGCAUGGCCCGGCCCCUGACCCUCAUCUGGGGGUGCCCUCAGCAGGAGAUGGAGACAGCCCUGAGGGCAGACAAAUCCCAGCUUCUGCUCUACAUGGCUGCCUGCAGGGAAGUGCCUUCUCAAGCAUCGGUUCCCCCAUCUGGCCUUUAUUGCUACCUGGUACCGCCUAACAUGCUGGCGUCGGCUC
rnacentral:lncRNA from 10 species